AUACGGAGGAUCCGAGCGUUAUCCGGAUUUAUUGGGUUUAAAGGGUGCGCAGGCGGCCAUUUAAGUCAGCGGUUAAAUCGUGGGGCUCAACCCCAUUCUGCCGUUGAUACUGGGUGGCUUGAUUGCGGUCGAGGCUGGCGGAAUUCGUUGGGUGGCGGUGAAAUGCAUAGAUAUGACGAAGAACACCGAUUGCGUAGGCAGCUGACCAGAUCGCAAAUGACGCUCAUGCACGAAAGUGCGGGGAUCGAACAGGAUUAGAUACCCUGGUAGUCCGCACAGUAAACGAUGAAUACUUGUUUUCGGCGAUAUAAUGUCGGAGGCAAAGCGAAAGCGAUAAGUAUUCCACCUGGGGAGUACGCCGUCAACGGUGAAACUCAAAGGAAUUGACGGGG
rnacentral:rRNA from 1 species